AACAUCGAGCUCGACCCGAAGCUCCACUCCGACGUCGCCGUCCAGCCGGUCCUCGCGGACGCUAGCAGAAGCUCCGGUCGCCCAGGGGCACAUAUUCGAGUUCGCUGUGUUCCUCCUCACCUCGUCCUGUUCUCCCCUAGCUUGGGAGACCUCUCCAGCGAGCGCACGCUCGAAGUCCGAGCCGGCCACGCCGUCUUCCUCAACUCCGGCGGCCAUCGAGCCAUGUCUCUCCGUGAGUCGCCUUGCACCGUCCGAUCCCCAUCCAAUGGCCAAGAUUAGAUCUGGUGUUUUUUUCUUUGCCGAACCGUUUUUCUCUAUGUUGUGGCCGUUUGUCGUUUAAGCCUCGCAGCGAAUGGUUCUCAGCCAUUAAUAGCCCGCCACGUGACAACGCCUCAGCAGCCGCGGCAGUUCUUCCAAGAACGCUAUUAUGGCAUAAUUUUUCUUUACAGAUUUCAUAUCAUAUUUUUGUUUAGGUAUAUCUUGAGAUCUGUAACUCCGAAUUCAACGAUUCUUUUUCCUGUGUACUCGUAGAUACCAGGAGAAUACCUUACAACCAAAAAAUUCACAUCUUUUGCACUAUUUAAAUUUGAAUUUGCUCAAAUUUUAAUUCAACCUUCUAGAGGCCAUAUCUUUCAAACCAUUUAUCCAGAUCAGUUGAUUCUUUUUGCAUUGUGAUCCUACUAGCAUGUAGACAAUAUUUACCUACUGUUAUGUUAUGUCAAUGAAAUUUUUAUUUGAAUUCCUUGUUGUUUACUUUAUUUUAGGGUUAUGUGAGCAUAGUUUAUUUAUCGAUGACUCCGUUAAUCGUAUAGAUGUCCAGAAUGUGAAGCGGAUCAGAAUUAAGCGUUAGAGUACUUCAACAUCGUUCAAGGCAAGUUUGCACUUUUGAUCUUGCUCAUCCUAUAUUCUGCUAUGCAUGUGUGAUUUUUAUGCUAUUACAUGUGCUUGGUUUGAUCUGUAUGUUCUCUGUUGUCAUAUUCUGAUAUUGAUUGUGUUAUGUGAUGGUGUGAUCAACUUGCUAUGGUAGACGUGGGCAUGUGUCGAGUGAUGCAUGGAAGUGGUGAGUGUUUAUAGCUGUAGGUUCCGGACUUUGACUCGGGUGAAUGCGUCAAUGGCUGAGCGCUCUAUUGUCCCUAGAGAAUGCGCCAUGACUGAGUGCACUUGAGUUGUCGGGGCUUUUUCUCAUGUGAAUGCAUCACUGGCUGAGCGCUCUAUUGUCCCUAGAGAAUGCGCCAGGGCUGAGCGCACUUGAGACAUCUUGAAGAUCCUUAAUGUUUGCACCUUGCCUAUGUCGUGGAGGUAGGUGAAGAUAGUUUUACGCGAAACCAAACUUGAGUGUUUUGUUUGUCAUACUUUGCAGUUAGAUGUAGGUUUGCUUUAUCAUUAUGUGUAAUUUGCCAAUACAUUCAAUGUAUUGACCCUUUGUGGCUGCAACUUAUUAUGUUGCAGGAUUUUCAGAUGAUCAGUGAGAUAUAGUAGGGUCGCGAGUCUUCACUCAACAUCUUCUCCAGUGGGCAUUGAUGGACUCAUCGUUUAUUAUGCUACCUUUCCGCUGUUAUUAUUGAAUAAGUUAGCUAUGUGCUACUCAGUUUGUAAUACCUUAUGAAUUCUGGAUCAUACGUUAUAGUAAAUGAUGCACUUGUUAUUUGAUAUUCA
rnacentral:lncRNA from 1 species